rnacentral:rRNA from 1 species
UACGUAGGGGGCAAGCGUUGUCCGGAUUUACUGGGUGUAAAGGGUGCUCAGGUGGUCUGAUAAGUCAGAGGUGAAAGCCCAGGGCUCAACCCUGGAACUGCCUUUGAUACUAUCAGGCUUGAGUAUGGAAGAGGUUGAUGGAAUUUCUGGUGUAGCAGUGAAAUGCGUAGAUAUCAGAAAGAACACCAGUGGCGAAGGCGGUCAACUGGUCCAUUACUGACACUAAAGCACGAAAGCGUGGGGAGCAAACAGG